rnacentral:SRP_RNA from 1 species
CUUUCAGGACUAUGCAAUACCUAGUUGGACAAUGUGUCAGGACGGGAACGUAGCAGCACACCCAAUUUAGGUAUGUGCCAUAGCUCCCUGG